rnacentral:rRNA from 1 species
UACGGAGGGUGCAAGCGUUGUUCGGAAUUACUGGGCGUAAAGAGCGCGUAGGCGGUUCUAUAAGUCAGACGUGAAAGCCCUGGGCUUAACCCAGGAUGUGCGUUUGAUACUGUAGAGCUAGAGGACCAGAGAGGUGAGUGGAAUUCCUAGUGUAGAGGUGAAAUUCGUAGAUAUUAGGAGGAACAUCAGUGGCGAAGGCGGCUCACUGGCUGGUAACUGACGCUGAGGCGCGAAAGCGUGGGGAGCAAACAGGAUUAGAUACCCUGGUAGUCCACGCCGUAAACGAUGAGUGCUAGACGUCGGAUCUGAAAGAUUCGGUGUUGCAGCUAACGCAAUAAGCACUCCGCCUGGGGAGUACGGUCGCAAGAUUA